rnacentral:rRNA from 1 species
GACAGAGGUGCCAAGCGUUAGGCGGAAUUACUGGGCGUAAAGCGUGCGCAGGCGGUUUUGUAAGCCAGAUGUGAAAGCCCCGGGCUCAACCUGGGAACUGGCAUUUGGGACUGCAAGGCUGGAGUACGGCAGAGGGAGGUGGAAUUCCGACGUGUAGCAGUGAAAUGCGUAGAGAUGUGGAGGAACACCGAUGGCGAAGGCAGCCUCCUGGGCUAGUACUGACGCUCAUGCACGAAAGCGUGGGGAGCAAACAGGA